rnacentral:rRNA from 1 species
AUGCUGACGAGUGGCGAACGGGUGAGUAAUACAUCGGAACGUGCCUAGUAGUGGGGGAUAACUACUCAAAAGAGUAGCUAAUACCGCAUGAGAUCUACGGAUGAAAGCAGGGGACCUUCGGGCCUUGUGCUACUAGAGCGGCUGAUGGCAGAUUAGGUAGUUGGUGGGGUAAAGGCUUACCAAGCCUGCGAUCUGUAGCUGGUCUGAGAGGACGACCAGCCACACUGGGACUGAGACACGGCCCAAACUCCUACGGGAGGCAGCAGUGGGGAAUUUUGGACAAUGGGCGAAAGCCUGAUCCAGCAAUGCCGCGUGCAGGAUGAAGGCCCUCGGGUUGUAAACUGCUUUUGUACGGAACGAAAAGCCUGGGGCUAAUAUCCCCGGGUCAUGACGGUACCGUAAGAAUAAGCACCGGCUAACUACGUGCCAGCAGCCGCGGUAAUACGUAGGGGCAAGCGUUAAUCGGAAUUACUGGGCGUAAAGCGUGCGCAGGCGGUUUUGUAGACAGUGGUGAAAUCCCCGGGCUCAACCUGGGAACUGCCAUUGUGACUGCAAAGCUAGAGUGCGGCAGAGGGGGAUGGAAUUCC